GCGGUUUAAAUCCCCUCGGCCCCGCCCCGCGCAGGCGCUCUGGGGCCCCGCGCACCUGUGCCGGCCCGGCCCUGCCCAUAAAUCCCGGUGGAUCGGCGCCUGCUCUGCUUGGUGCGGUGCAUGCUCGUUCCGGGGUGCGGUGAGACCGGCGCUCGGAGCGCUGCGCGGAGCUAGAGGCGCUGAGGAUUUACCCAACAGCUGUAAAGGUGCUCAAUCCAUGUCUCUUUCCAAGGAGAAAUGAGAGCAGGGUAAGUCCUAAGGUUUUACUUGGUCCAUAGCCAGAGUUCUGGAGAGUGUCAGGGCUGGUCCCACCUGCAGAGGGGCGUUUCCUGGAGGUGAGUGUUCACAGCCCCAAAUCACUGCAGGUGCUGAGGCUGGGACCACUUUUCUGGCCCAGAGCUGCAUGAAGCCCUUGGUGACUCCCACUCACUGCCAGGAAUGUUCCUUGGUGUUUCCUCAGUGUGUCCCAGCUGGCUGGGAAUGUGUGGGGCAGGAGGAGGCCAGGAGCCCCAGGAAGGGAACCAGUACCUCCUAUCCUCAGUAUUUGCAGGGGAGCAGCUGUGCCUCAGUGUCCUGCCUGUGGCAGGCAGCGUGCCACCCACGCAUCCCAGGGAUGGGCACUGGGAUGCCCGGGCAGUGCUGGGAUGGACGUGGAUAAAGGGCUGCCCGCGGCUUCUCAGCCAGGGGCUGCUCUGAACCUGGAGAUGCUUCAGCCCAGACAGACCCAGCCCACAGCCCAGAAUUACCCGAGGAACAGCUGGAACAGCUGGCGUUGCCUGGGAAUGUCGGCACGGUGCGUUUGCGGAGGGGCUCAGGCAGCAAUUCCCGGUGCCGAUCUCCCAGAGCUCCCGCACAUCCCCAGGGUGUCCCAGCCCCCCAAACCCCUUCCCUUCCAGCCUGGGGACAUCAUCCCUCAGUUAAAGCGUUAAAGUCAAGGGACUCUUCCCCCACAGAAAUGAAACCCCAAGCAAUGCCCUCAGAGAUGCCUUUAAAUAAAAGGUUGGAGUCGGAUGAAGUUUUGUCUGCAUUAAGUUUGGAGUUUUUCAGGGAAUCAGCUGGAACCACAGAACUGAUGGAAAGCUUUCACAGCUCCUGAGCAGUGUCAGGGCCACUGUGAGGGAGUUCAAAUCCAAACAAACCUCACAGCCCAUGGAGUGAAUGAUCCCAACAAAGAAAUGCAGAUCUUAAAGAUCGGUUAAAAAGGCUGUGACAACACUGUGAUGGGAUUCCCAGGAACCUUCUGGUAUGCUCUUGGUUCUGUUUUUAUGUAUUUUUAGUCCUUCCAUGGGCAGCUUGUAGAAUUUAUUCUGGAAUUUAGAGGUUG